rnacentral:rRNA from 1 species
CACGUAGUUAGCCGGAGCUUAUUCUACAGGUACUGUCAUUAUCUUCCCUGUCUAAAGCAGUUUACAAUCCGAAAACCUUCUUCCUGCACGCGGCGUCACUGCGUCAGAGUUUCCUCCAUUGCGCAAUAUUCCCGACUGCUGCCUCCCGUAGGAGUCUGGGCCGUAUCUCAGUCCCAAUGUGGCCGUUCAACCUCUCAGUCCGGCUACUGAUCGUCGACUUGGUAGGCCGUUACCCCACCAACUAUCUAAUCAGACGCAAGCCCAUCUAUCAGCGGAUUGCUCCUUUCCCAUUUAUAUCAUGUGAUAUUCAUGGCAUAUGCGGUAUUAGCAGUCAUUUCUAACUGUUGUUCCCCUCUGAUAGGCAGGUUGCUUACGUGUUACUCACCAGUCCGCCACUAACCGCUCCAAUAGUAAACUAAUGGUUAAGUCCGUUCGACUUGCAUGUCUUAUGUGCGCCGCCAGCGUUUAUCCUGAGCCAGGAUCAAA